rnacentral:rRNA from 1 species
ACUAUGGCGACAGCGGAGGGACAUUA